CCCGGGGGUGGGUCCCCGCUGCCCCUCGGGGUGGGUCCCCGGUGCCACCCCCCGCCGUGGAUUCCCGCUGCCCCUCGGGGUGGAUCCCCGGUGCCCCCCCCCCCGUGGAUCCCCGCUGCCCCCCGGGGGUGGACCUGGUCGAACCCCGCCGCGCAGAGGACAGGACGUCCUGCAUGUUUCCUGAAACAGUGACGCCCGCGGCGCGGCAGCUGGGAGGGCGUGGGAAAGGGCCUGUGUACUGUCCCCGCUUAGCAGACUGCCGCUCGGUGGCUGUAUGUUUCCGAUUUCAGGUGCAGGUAUACUUUAAGGUUAAUAAUAAGCUACAAUAGGUGCUGUGUAAUAAUCUUAAAUUACGGAAUGAAACAUUUCCUUUUACUAAAUGUGGGUUUUGAAAAGUGCUUGAAUUAGAAUAAGCAAGAAAAAAAUGGUCACUUAGGUAACAAUUUCUAAAAGCCAUGGAAUGUAUACAGGGUGGGGCAAAAGUAGUUUCCAGUUGCUUAUAUGGCAAAUAAUACAAUCAUUAAGAAUACAUGUAUACAAGAAUAAACUCUCGAGUAGACCUUUGCCCCACCCUAUAUACAUGCUGGAAUAAUAAAAAUUCAACUACAGUAUGAUGUGAAAGUCAUAUUGCCCACUUUGCUGCUAUGCCAAAAGAAACGGCAUAGAAACAUAGGCAAAACAAAAAUUUUUAAUUUGGGAUUUUGCUCUUCUUUUUCAGGGAAAAUUGCUGAGACUUUGGAGGGGUGAAAGGAUGAGGAAAUGCUUUAACUUCAGAUGCAAUUUAAGAUGGAAAAUAUUAUGGUCUUCCAUGAAUUCUUAGGCAGGGGGGAGAUCAGAACUGGAGUCCAGGCACUAAAAUUACCACAGUAAUAAUCCACUGAAUUAUUGGGCAGUUUGGAAACUAGGAGUAGGAGGGAUAGGACAUUGUGUUUGUUUUUCCAGGGCUCUGUGCACAGUGUGUGGUUGUGCAACCACAGAAGCAGCUCGGAAUGGUCCUAUCCUGUUUAACAAGAUACUGAGUUGCUUUUAAGAGAUAACAGACCGCAACCUCAUGUCAGGUAACCAGAGGUUGCGCAGAUGAGAGAACUUUGACCUCCCGCUGCACCCAGAACCAAAGUCUUGCCACUCCCCACCCCCUCCCUACACAACCAGGACAGAAGCUAAAGGACCAGCACAUAACCUUCAGGAGCAGAGUCCACUGCCCAGGAAGAUCUGGUAUUGAUGACCCUUUAUCAUAAAUGGCCAAGUCCCAAGGUCCUUCGACUAAAACUUGCCCCACCAGCACUUCCCCGUACCCGUUCCUCCUAACCCCUUAAAAUCCCUUAGUCUCGUCCAGCGAGCAAGAUAGGUCUGAGGUACCAUUAAGUCUCCCAUCUCCUCAGUUGGCACCUUCUUGGUCAAUAAACCUUUCCUUACUCCAAA